rnacentral:lncRNA from 1 species
ACACGCACGAGCGCAGAACAAAGGGCCGGACAUGCUCCAGCCCGCUCCGCCUGCGCCUCGGCCUUGCGCGCGGGGGCCCGGGUUACCUGCGCAGAGCCAGCUGUGAUGUAAAGAAGUUUGUGCUGCAUGAGAGAGAUAGCACCUGAAGAAAAUGAGGCCCUGGAGGAUGAGAGACUCUAAAGGAAAAGGGAAGGGCCUGCUGUCUUCCAGCCACGCCAGCCCCCAACUGAGAAGCUGGGUGAAGCCAUCUUGCAUCUUUAGCCCCAGUCAAGUUACCUCAGCAAAGACUAGCUGACCCUGCCAAGCCCUGCCCAAGUUACAGAAUCAUGAGCAAAUAAAUGGCUGUUUCUGUUUUAAGCUUUUA